CCCGAGAAUUCCUCCACUCCAGAUCCAGUCCUUUCCAUCUUCCCAUAAGCGUUGCCCUGCCUCCCCCGCGUAAGCUCAGCGCCAUCACACUACAAUGCCGCCCCCACGCGAGCUCAGCGCCGCCGCAUUCCCGUACCGCGCCCACGCCUGUCAGACGCCGCCGCGAUGCGAGCUCCGCGCUCCCACCUUCACUCGUGCCCCGCGCCCUAUAUGCCCAGGCUAACUCCUAUAAUGGAUCCCGGGGGGUCCUAUCCUCCGGCGCUGAAGGGGACGGCGGCCUGAAGAACGACGAGUCUCAGAGGAGGACGAGCGGCGGGUGUAGCUGGUGCUCAACCGGGAGAGCGCGCACCUGUCGCUGCAGAGGAAGAAGCAGCGCUCGCCGCCACCCUUCACCACGUCCGCCGCCUCCCCCUGGUGCCGCGAGGCACCUCACCGGCCGGAUCCACUCGAUCUGGGCACGCCACUACCACAUCCCUCGAGGUAACUCAAGUACUCGACUGUGUGUAAACUGCCUGCACGACUCCACCACGCCCCAGUCUCACGGCGUCAGCUGCGUGAACGCGACCACCGUCGAUCCAUCCAGUUGUGGACGCGCCAGCCUUAACGCCAUCUCCUUCCACAUGCUGGCGUACUACUCGCGUGGACGCUCGCCACGAUCUGGAUGUCGCGCAGCCUCAGCAGCCUGACGCCACCCAUGAAUCAGGCCUAAUUACUUGGCCGUGAAAGGCUACAACGAUCAUGGAAUUAGUGGAUUCUCCUUGAUGAUGCGCUAUGACACAACAAUGUUACACAGUGAAUUGGUACUUUUCGUAGCAACUGGGUGGUGGAUCGAUUGAACUGAUUUGAGAGGAUUGUGCUUUGAUUUUCCGACUUCUUGCAGCUUGACUACGAGGUAGAGAUGGAUCUGCCUCUGUUGUGGGAGACAGACAAUGCCUUUUGGUGCUAUUUCCUAAAUAAGAUAUACACAUGUCUUCACUCCGCCAUUGCUGUUGCGCCCAUAACGCAAGCUCCGGUGCCGCGGCGAUGUUGGUCCGCGAAGAGGAUGCAAACACUAUAGCUCUGAACUCCAUGGCAGACAUUGCUCUCAUUCUGUUGCUAUUGUUGUGGAGCGCCGAGGACGCAUGUCCCAUGGCCGCCGGUUCUUCCAGUCAGGGGAUGCGAAAUCUGCCAGCGUCGUUUCUCUCUGUGCGCCGGUAUGUUUUGUGUGUGAUUUGAAGUUUGGCAACUGGCAUGAUGCGAGAAAAAAUAUCAGUGGAUAUCUCCCAUCAGUUGCAGACAGUUGGUUUGUUACUUUAGACUGACGACUGAAUCCACAGUCGGUUUGCAGCAUGCAGCAAGGUGAGCAACAAAUCAUCAUCGUGAGAUUUCUUUUCUAAGUGCUGAAGAAAGCUACUAAGCAAGUUCAUGUAUGUACAACAGUUCUAAUUGCUGCUUUUAGAGAAGCCCCAGUUGUAGGUCAUAAAUUGCUUGGAAAAAUGCAACAUCGAUGCUAGAAUCCUGACGAGACUAUGACCGGUGAUGCAGAUUAUUUUGUAUGCUGAUGGUGCCGUGGCGGCUGCAUGCCGGAGGGCUGCAUACUCGACUUCUACAUCGCCAUCUUCAACAAGGAGAAGAUCUCCCUCGCUGGCCACAACGAGGUCCGCGCCUGCACUCCCAUUCCCAUUCUUUCUCCCUCUCCAGGAAUUGGGGUUUCUAUUGCUUUUUUUUGUUUGGUGUGUGCCACUGGAGUAUAUGUGUUGUUUGUGCCACCCUUGUGG